rnacentral:tRNA from 1 species
GGCUCGUUAGCUCAGUUGGUUAGAGCUUCGUGCUAAUAACGCGAAGGUCGCUGGUUCGAUCCCUUCACGGGCCA